rnacentral:lncRNA from 1 species
GGAAUGAGAAUCGAUAGGCGAGAGGUAGAAGGAUGUAAUCAGGACCUUUCGCCACCAAUCAGAAGAAGGAGGAGGAGGAGGUUUGCUGAAGGAAAGUCUACAGAGGAGGAAGGGAUGUGUUGAUCGAUUGGGUUUUCCGGAUAGUUGAAUUAGAAAUCCAUUUUUUUUGUAACUACCUUGAUUCCUAGGCAUCAUCCGAAACCCGUUCUCCUGAUUUGAGCUGAAUCCCUCCCUCGAUUUCAGUCUGUUCCCAGUUUGGGAAUUUCCGUUUCACCUUCAGAGUUUCAAUCUUCAAAGGUAAAAGAGAUUUGUGAUGGUGAACAGGGGGCGGGAAGAGGAAGAAGAAGGUGAUCCUGGGUUAUUGGGUUUUGCUGUGAGGAGGAAGAACACCUGCGUUUUGGAUAACUCUGCUUAGUACGUUUAGCGUUCCUACUAAGCAGAGGCAGAGGAAAGGAAAUUCCAAAAGAGGCUGAUAUGUGCAAGGCCAAUGCUUGCGUGCUGAUCAUGUAUUGCUUAAGAACGGUGAUUGAGCAAAGGAGAAGAGGACGGCGUUGGGCCUGGGUUUGUGAUUGAAAUUAUCUGUCUGUUAAUGUAAAUGUACAAUGAAUGUAUAAAACUUAGGAAGCAAACAAAUCUGCAGUGUUUGUGAUUGAAAUUACCUGCCUGUUAGUGUAAAUGUACGAUGAAUGUAUAAAACUUAGCAAGCAAUCAAACC